AUUGAACGCUGGCGGCAGGCUUAACACAUGCAAGUCGAACGAGUGGCGGACGGGUGAGUAAUGCUUGGGAAUCUGGCUUAUGGAGGGGGCUAACUACGGGAAACUGUAGCUAAUACCGCAUACCAUCGGAUGAGCCCAAGUGGGAUUAGCUAGUAGGUGGGGUAAAGGCUCACCUAGGCGACGAUCUCUAGCUGGUCUGAGAGGAUGAUCAGCCACACUGGGACUGAGACACGGCCCAGACUCCUACGGGAGGCAGCAGUGGGGAAUAUUGCACAAUGGGCGCAAGCCUGAUGCAGCCAUGCCGCGUGUAUGAAGAAGGCCUUAGGGUUGUAAAGUACUUUCAGCGGUGAGGCGUUACCCGCAGAAGAAGCACCGGCUAACUCCGUGCCAGCCGCCGCGGUAAUAC
rnacentral:rRNA from 1 species